AUUGAACGCUGGCGGCAUGCUUUACACAUGCAAGUCGAACGGCAGCGCGGGGGCAACCCUGGCGGCGAGUGGCGAACGGGUGAGUAAUGUAUCGGAACGUAUCCUGUAAUGGGGGAUAACCAGUCGAAAGAUUGGGUAAUACCGCAUACGCACGAGAGUGGAAAGUAGGGGAUCGCAAGACCUUACGUUAUAGGAGCGGCCGAUAUCUGAUUAGCUAGUUGGUGGGGUAAAGGCCUACCAAGGCGACGAUCUGUAGCUGGUCUGAGAGGACGACCAGCCACACUGGAACUGAGACACGGUCCAGACUCCUACGGGAGGCAGCAGUGGGGAAUUUUGGACAAUGGGCGCAAGCCUGAUCCAGCAAUGCCGCGUGCAGGAUGAAGGCCUUCGGGUUGUAAACUGCUUUUGUACGGAACGAAACGGUGAGCUCUAAUAAAGCUUGCUAAUGACGGUACCGUAAGAAUAAGCACCGGCUAACUACGUGCCAGCAGCCGCGGUAA
rnacentral:rRNA from 1 species